rnacentral:rRNA from 1 species
GAGGCAGCAGUAGGGAAUCUUCCGCAAUGGGCGAAAGCCUGACGGAGCAACGCCGCGUGAGUGAAGAAGGUCUUCGGAUCGUAAAACUCUGUUAUUAGGGAAGAACAAAUGUGUAAGUAACUAUGCACGUCUUGACGGUACCUAAUCAGAAAGCCACGGCUAACUACGUGCCAGCAGCCGCGGUAAUACGUAGGUGGCAAGCGUUAUCCGGAAUUAUUGGGCGUAAAGCGCGCGUAGGCGGUUUUUUAAGUCUGAUGUGAAAGCCCACGGCUCAACCGUGGAGGGUCAUUGGAAACUGGAAAACUUGAGUGCAGAAGAGGAAAGUGGAAUUCCAUGUGUAGCGGUGAAAUGCGCAGAGAUAUGGAGGAAC